GUGAGGAAUAUUGGUCAAUGGGCGAGAGCCUGAACCAACCAAGUCGCGUGAAGGAUGAAGGUUUUAUGAAUUGUAAACUUCUUUUGCAGGGGAAUAAAGUACGGUACGUGUACCGUUUUGUAUGUACUCUGCGAAUAAGGAUCGGCUAACUCCGUGCCAGCAGCCGCGGUAAUACGGAGGAUCCAAGCGUUAUCCGGAUUUAUUGGGUUUAAAGGGUGCGCAGGCGGGUUGAUAAGUCAGCGGUGAAAGUUUGCAGCUUAACUGUAAAAUUGCCGUUGAAACUGUCGAUCUUGAGUGCAAAUGAGGUAAGCGGAAUGUGUUGUGUAGCGGUGAAAUGCUUAGAUAUAACACAGAACACCGAUUGCGAAGGCAGCUUACUGGGAUGCAACUGACGCUCAUGCACGAAAGCGUGGGGAUCAAACAGGAUUAGAUACCCGAGUAGUCC
rnacentral:rRNA from 1 species